rnacentral:rRNA from 1 species
UACGUAGGGUGCAAGCGUUGUCCGGAUUUAUUAGGCGUAAAGAGCGUGUAGGCGGCCACACAGGUCUGCUGUGAAAACUCGAGGCUCAACCUCGAGCUGUCGGUGGAAACCGUGUGGCUAGAGUCCGGAAGAGGAGAGUGGAAUUCCCGGUGUAGCGGUGAAAUGCGCAGAUAUCGGGAAGAACACCCGUGGCGAAGGCGGCUCUCUGGGACGGUACUGACGCUGAGACGCGAAAGCGUGGGGAGCGAACAGGA